rnacentral:rRNA from 1 species
UACGUAGGCAGCAAGCGUUGUUCGGAGUUACUGGGCGUAAAGGGUGCGUAGGCGGCUUUUUAAGUCAGUGGUGAAAUACAGCAGCUCAACUGUUGAGGUGCCAUUGAUACUGAGAGGCUUGAGUACAGAUGAGGUAGGCGGAAUUUAUGGUGUAGCGGUGAAAUGCAUAGAUACCAUAAAGAACACCGAUUACGGAAGGCAGCUUACGUAGCUGUAACUGACGCUGAGGCACGAAAGCGUGGGGAGCGAACGGG